CAGUUAGUGAAGUUUGAAUGGAUUUUCUAGUUUACAGAUAAGUUGCCCUUAGACAAGCUCAGUAUUUUAGAAAGAUCUAUGGUAAGCAUUAAUAUUUAUUUUGAUUAAAAAUAAUCUUAGAAAUGUAUGUACCUGUAAUAUAAUUCAAAUGCAGUGUUCAGACGAGUUAUGUUUAUAUAUCUGAUUUCUUUUUAGGAAACAGCAAUGACAGUUGUUACUCUGCAUCCAUCAUGGCUUCUCCUUCUCCUUCACCUUCAUCUUCAAGUUCUGCUUCUCCACGUCGACUGUAUACUGCUACAAUCCCAAACUGUCACUGAUGGUUUUCAGAUACCAUACUUGAAAUUCCCAGAGGAUUUAACGCAAUCCCUGGAAAGGGGCAAAAGACCAGGCCCACAUUUACGCCAUGAAAUGAUCAGAAUAAUUAUCAAAGAAAUCAUGAAAGUAUGUCCUAACCCUACAAAAAGCAGCAUCACUGAGGUUGCUAAAAAAAAUGGUCGCAAAAUACCAUGAAUCUCUUCAAGAUGUAAUUGAGGGAGAAGUUAUAGGCACUGGAUAUGACUCCUUAGUGCAACAACUUGGGUCCCGGGUUGAAAAUGUAAAGCGAUUCAGUCAUCAGAAGAUCAGGAAGAGAACACUGCAGUCUGAUAAUGACACAGAAGAACUGUCUCCAGAAAAGAGAGCUGCUAUGCAAGAUACAUAUGGAUGGAUCAAAUGGGAGUUGCCACAUAUACCUCUUCAAGAAACAGCAGAAAGUUUGCUAGAAAAAAAAUGACUCUCAGAAAUAAUUACAUGGCAGCCAAGUGGAAUACGGAUGAAGUACAGCAAGAUAUGCAGUCAACUUAUUAUUCUCAGAGAAAAGAAGUAAACCAGGGCACCAGCAUUCCUCAACUUUUAGAGGACUGGCCUUUUCUUUUUAACGAGAUUGGCAUGGCAGUUCAUUUUAAAUAACUCACAGGUAUUCAGCUUAAAGAAACCUUUCUUAGUAGUCUUGACAAAAAAGGAAAACGACUGCUUAACUAUAUGAGACAUGUUGCUGCUGAAAAGAAUAGACGGGUCCUUCAGACCUUGACAAAGCUAGAUGUUCCUCAGAGUCAUCUGCAAGGCUGCUCGGCUGAGAUAACAAAUAUAAUCCUGCUGCUACUAGCUUACUUUGAUGAGAAGGAAGAACACGUGAUUCACUCUGUUAAAAAGACGGCUCUCACUUAGGAAUUACAAGCAGAACAGCUUCCUUUGACACCCUGCAUUAUUAUUUGUGAUGUUUCUUCAAAAUCAAUCCUGGAAAAGGAACAAAAGUGGAAUGGAAAAAGUCCAGGAAGCAGUACUCUGUGAACCCCUGAGUUCUGUCACUCAUCUCAGCUCUGUAAAUAGUGAAGUGUUUUCACGGUGACUUCUAGCAAAACUACAAGUAGAAGGAAGAAGUCAUUCAAGAGUUACAUAUUCACUGAGUGUCAACCACUCAUGAUUUUGUUAAUGAUUGUUAAACUUUUUAUUCUUUUUUCAAUAUUAUUGCUUAAAAUAAGCUUUAUUGUUUUGUUAUUAACAUACAGCAUUUGCAUGGCAAAAAAGAUGAUCAAUAUAAUGUGAGAGAUUUGUGCAACUUCUAAUCUUUAGAAAGUUGAUAAAACAUAAGGGCCUCUUGUGUCACCUCAACUGAAUCUUAACAGCAACUCAGUGCGUGCCGUCUGUGCCUGCAGAGGAUGUAUAUUGGAAAAGAGCAGAACAUUAUUACUGGUUCUGCAAUAAACAAUGCAUUCCUUAUCUGUUUAAAGAUGUUCCUUACUAAUUAUUUGACUGAUACCUU